CGGGAAACUGGGGAUAAUACCCUCUCCAUAGAGAUGCCUGCAAUGGUUCUCUACUGAAAUGUUCCGACGCCUAAGGAUGGAUCCGCGGCAGAUUAGGUAGUUGGUGGGGUAAAGGCCCACCAAGCCUUUGAUCUGUACGGGUUGUGAGAGCAAGAGCCCGGAGAUGGAACCUGAGACAAGGUUCCAGGCCCUCAGGGGCGCAGCAGGCGCGAAACCUCCGCAAUGCGAGCAAUCGCGACGGGGGGACCCCAAGUGCCACUCUUAACGGGGUGGCUUUUCUGAAGUGUAAAAAGCUGUAGGAAGAAGGGCUGGGCAAGACCGGUGCCAGCCGCCGCGGUAACA
rnacentral:rRNA from 1 species